UAAAAGGGUCGGUUGGCUAAAUAUGCCAUGCUAGCCCAAGUUCGGUUAGUGCUGUAUGGAAAUCAAGACAUAUAUGGCUGACAUCAUUUUUGGAAACUUCUAGGGUUGGCUCCAUGGCCGACCUUUCU